CCUACGGGAGGCAGCAGUGGGGGAUAUUGCACAAUGGGCGGAACCCUGAUGCAGCGACGCCGCGUGGGUGAAGAAGCGCCUCGGCGCGUAAAGCCCUUUCAGCAGGGAAGAAAAUGACAGUACCUAAAGAAUAAGCCCCGGCUAACUACGUGCCAGCAGCCGCGGUAAUACGUCGGGGGCACGCGUUAUCCGGAUUUACUGGGUGUAACGGGGGCGCAGACGGCUGUGCAAGUCAGGAGUGAAAGCCCUGGGCCCAACCCCGGGACUGCUCUGGGAACUGCGUGGCUGGAGUGCAGGAGGGGGAGGUGGAAGUCCUGGUGUAGCGGUGAAAUGCGUAGAUAUCAGGAGGAACACCGGUGGCGAAGGCGGCCCGCUGGACGGCAACUGACGUUGAGGUGCGAAAGCGUGGGGAGCAAACAGGAUUAGAUACCCCUGUAGUC
rnacentral:rRNA from 1 species